rnacentral:piRNA from 1 species
AUCCAUGAGUGUGAUGCUUCCAGUCUUA